rnacentral:rRNA from 1 species
CCUACGGGAGGCAGCAGUGAGGAAUAUUGGUCAAUGGACGAGAGUCUGAACCAGCCAAGUAGCGUGAAGGAUGACUGCCCUAUGGGUUGUAAACUUCUUUUAUAUGGGAAUAAAAUGUUCCACGUGUGGGGUUUUGUAUGUACCAUAUGAAUAAGGAUCGGCUAACUCCGUGCCAGCAGCCGCGGUAAUACGGAGGAUCCGAGCGUUAUCCGGAUUUAUUGGGUUUAAAGGGAGCGUAGAUGGGUUGUUAAGUCAGUUGUGAAAGUUUGCGGCUCAACCGUAAAAUUGCAAUUGAUACUGGCAGUCUUGAGUACAGUUGAGGUAGGCGGAAUUCGUGGUGUAGCGGUGAAAUGCUUAGAUAUCACGAAGAACCCCGAUUGCGAAGGCAGCUUACUAAACUGUGACUGACAUUGAUGCUCGAAAGUGUGGGUAUCAAACAGGAUUAGAUACCCCAGUAGUC